CCUUUGUCUGCAAUAUUCUCUCUGCUUUUGUUUGUUUUUUGGUUUUGAUUCAAAGCAAUUUUGUUGGAUACAUGCAAUAUUUGUAAAAUACGUAGCAUGUUUAAAGAAAAAAAAACAUACCUUAUGUUCAUGUACCCAUCUGUCAUUAGCCAUUUACCGUCAACUCUGUGAGCUCCUCUGAUUCCAGCCCUUCUUCUCCCCGCCCCAAGAUAAAAUGGCUGAAUUUCGUAUUGAGCAUUCUCUUGUUUUUCUUUAUGGUUUGCUUGCUUGUAUCUUUAAACAACACAGUGUUUACAUUGCAUUUCCAUGAAACCUGCUGUUUCACUCUGCUUUAUGUUCCUGAGGUUCAUCAUGAUACUGAGUGAGGCUGUAAUGCAUUCCUUUUCCCUGCUAUGUAGUAUUUUAUUGCAUUAAAACACCAAGAUGCAAUUAUCUGUUUUAUAUCCUACCGUUGGUGGACAUUUGAGCCUACCCCACUCUUUGCUAUUACAACAAAACUGUAGACUUUCGCAGACAUAUCUCCUAAUAUGCACGUACAAGUUCCUCCAGGGUAUAUGCCUAGGUGUGGACUAGUGAUUUCUAGGAUAGAAGUAUGUCAGCACUUUCUAGGUAACACAAAAUUGUUUUCAAAGUGGCUGUACCAACUUGUACUCUCUUCAGCAGUGACUAAGAAUUCCCGUUGCUCUAGAUUCUUGCUACUAUCUGGUGGCUUUAAAAUUGUUGCCAAUCUGAUAGAAAGGGAUAGCUCAUUAUGCUUCUAAUUUUCAUUUUGCCGCUUACUUGCCUUGAUCCCUGCGGGCUGGUUCCCACUUAUGAUUCAAAUUUGAGAUGAAAUAAUCACCACCUUGAAAUGCCUUGGCCACUCAACUCCGUUGCCCUAUCUUCAUUCUUACUAUCUGAUAUCUUCUUUUCUCUCUUCUUAAAAAAUGUUUGUCGGUCUCUUGUAUUCCUUCUUAUCCAGGGUGUGUGCCCUGUAGCUGCUUAAUAGAUUUCUUGAAUGUUUGUUAAGUGAAUGAAUGGGCUAGCUUCAAUUCUGUUUAGAUCAGUAUUUGCUGGCUGAUGACGCCAGCUUCCUUCUUGUUUGGCUCAAGCCUCUCUUUCACAUUGCUUUCAGUUUCUUUUCGUACAUUCUCCAUGGUCUUCCCUUCCAUUUCUGUCCACUUUUCUCUUUGUUCUCCUUGUUGCUAAAUUCUUUCUUCAUGGCAAGCUCUCCCUCUUGCUUCCACACUUGCUGCCACAAGUGCUUCCACACUCAUAGCUUUCAAAACCAACUUCUCCUAUACCCAGCUCUCUUCCACCCUGCCUGGCAUCCACUGGGGCAAUGGUCAGUCAAAAGCCAUCUGGAUUCUAGAAGACAAGGAAAGAGCAAACAAAACCGUCAUUCAUUCAAGUCAUCCACAAAGAACCCAGAGAAAGAUCUCUGUGGGUCCACGUCUUUUGUUAGAGGCAACUGCCCUCCCCCUGGAGAAACCGAAGACUUAUCCUCAGAAGUUGGAGGCUUAUUCUCUAAAGAAAUUGAACCAGUAGGAAGAACAGACAUGGUACAAAACAGGAAGCUGUGUUGCUCCAAAAAUAUCACAGGAUCGGAUGACUCGAAAACCUUCACCAAACUUGGGACCGUGACACCAUUCACAUCUAGACGGGCUGUGAAUGAG